GUUUGUCACACCCUACGUCAUAUGGAUACACAUGCAGUGUUUGAGCUGUAGCUGUUUUGUGGCAGUAGUAGCUGAAUCUGGCCAAUGACAACUUUGCGCGCCUCUCACCGGUCAAGUUUGAAAAUACAUCGGUUUCAGUGGGUAUGCUGCUGCUGGACUAUUCGGUCGGUGUACUAGAUUUACACAACACAACUCAUGGUGGCUUUUAGUAGCCUAGAUUUACAGAAUAUCUUUUUAAAGAGAGAUCGCGAGACAAACGAAGAUGACUGGUGAAAAGAUCAUCAGAUUAGGAAACCUGCAUCCUGACCUGCCUGCCCCUUGGAUUCUCCUACCGCCUAGCCCUGCCUGUACUGUCGCUUUUGUGGACUGAUCACCCGGUAUUCCGACCUGCCUGCCUGUCCCUGGAUUCUCCUACCGUCUGCCCCUGCCUGUACUGUUGCCUUCGCGGACUGAUCACCCGGUAUCGUGACCUGCCUGCCUGCUUCUGGUUUUUCCUCUCUGCCGAGCCCUGCCUGUACCUUUGCCUACGUGGACUGAUCUCCUGAUUUCUGAACCUUA
ensembl:lncRNA